GAGUUUGAUCAUGGCUCAGAUUGAACGCUGGCGGCAGGCCUAACACAUGCAAGUCGAGCGGAUGACGGGAGCUUGCUCCUUGAUUCAGCGGCGGACGGGUGAGUAAUGCCUAGGAAUCUGCCUGGUAGUGGGGGACAACGUUUCGAAAGGAACGCUAAUACCGCAUACGUCCUACGGGAGAAAGCAGGGGACCUUCGGGCCUUGCGCUAUCAGAUGAGCCUAGGUCGGAUUAGCUAGUUGGUGGGGUAAUGGCUCACCAAGGCGACGAUCCGUAACUGGUCUGAGAGGAUUAUCAGUCACACUGGAACUGAGACACGGUCCAGACUCCUACGGGAGGCAGCAGUGGGGAAUAUUGGACAAUGGGCGAAAGCCUGAUCCAGCCAUGCCGCGUGUGUGAGAAGGUCUUUCGGAUUGUAAAGCACUUUAAGUUGGGAGAAGGGCAGAAGUUAAUACCUUGCUGUUUGACGUUACCGACAGAAUAAGCACCGGCUAACUCUGUGCCAGCCGCCG
rnacentral:rRNA from 1 species